CAAUUUAACUAUGAUUUUCUCCCUAGUUCCAGUUAAUAGAGUAGUUGGAUCUGCUGGAGGCAAGUUCAUCAAAUGUGGGAUGCACAAUGAAUCCACUCUGAGCUCUGUCUCUGAUUCACCAUGUGCAAUGAAUCCAGCAAUUUGCUGCUACUUGAAGCCUUUCUAAUUUCCCUGGCAUUUGCAGGAAGGUCCAUGGUCACCCUGUGGAAGCAGGAGACCUGGUUUAUCCUAAACUUGAUACUGUGAGCAGGAGUUGGAGAUUAUGGAUGGCUUCAUUCCUUCCAAUUGUGUAUUUAAUGUGGGAAAAACUGCCAGCAAAUAAAAGGCCAGAGGCUUGGGACACAGGA